rnacentral:misc_RNA from 1 species
AGAGGAAAUCAUCCCAGAAGGUUAAAUUACCAAGAAAAACAAAAAUAGGCGAAGGAGAUUUGUACUUGAACAAAGAUCCCAGCUAUCUCGUCAACAUUAAUGUUGGGUUGCUGCUUGUAACACCAUAAGAACUUUACUUCUUGAUUCUUAGCACUAGUAACUUCUUUGUAAGCUACAAGUGCACUUUUCUGAGCAAUUAUGUCAUAGUGAAAACAUGUCCUGGCUUCACAUAAGGGUGGAAGUUGAAGUUUAUAGUCAAAUGUUUGGACCAGAGUUCAGAAACUGCAUGUCUGCAUUGAGGAUUUGCUUGCUUAGAUUGAUGGCAAGCUUCUUUUUUUACAACCACUUGACAUAAUGUCAUGUUGCAUACCUUGUCUUGAGGAUGGAAUUGGCUGUUAGAUGGUUAAUAGUAGUACAGAGAUUCGAUAAUAAUUUUCCUUCAAAGGGAUCAUUUAUGUUGAUCUCUCUUGUCAUUUUUCCAUUGAGUUGUAAUUGUCCCAUCCCAAUGGUUAUUGACAUGAAGUCAUUUUAACUUUGUACAUUUUUUCUUAUGAGCUUCACCAGGGCCUAUUUUGAUAGUUCCUGAUGCACAGGAGGUCAUCUUUGGUAAUACGGAAAUGAUGUCCUCUGGAAUAAAUAAAAUAUGGAAAAAAUAGAGAAAGAAAUUUUGAGUCAUUCAGAUGGUAAUUAUUAUGAAUAUAUUGGUGAAGAUAAUUUUAGUUCUCUCAUGUAUUAUAUUCCCUUUUUUUUAGUUUUUUUGCUUAUGAAAAUCAGUUUGUAUUUAGUUCAAUGUCAAAAUGGAUGUCAUGUUUACAUUUAAAUCUCAUACACACAUGCAUGCACAUGGAUAUGCACUAGGAUUUGGCUUCUUGUAAUUGAUCUUUUCUUUUUUUGUAAAAGAAAAUGAAAUAAAAGUAGCUUGUAAUCUUUUAUCAAUCUUUUGUUUGAG